rnacentral:rRNA from 1 species
AACGAACGCUGGCGGCAGGCUUAACACAUGCAAGUCGAGCGCCCCGCAAGGGGAGCGGCAGACGGGUGAGUAACGCGUGGGAAGCUACCGUGCCCUACGGAAUAACGCAUGGAAACGUGUGCUAAUACCGUAUACGCCCUACGGGGGCAAGAUUUAUCGGGGUAUGAUGAGCCCGCGUUGAAUUAGCCGGUUGGUGGGGUAAAGGCCUACCAAGGCGACGAUCCAUAGCUGGUCUGAGAGUAUGAUCAGCCACAUUGGGACUGAGACACGACCCAACCUCCUACGGGAGGCAGCAGUGGGGAAUAUUGGACAAUGGGCGCAAGCCUGAUCCAGCCAUGCCGCGUGAGUGAUGAAGGUCUUAGGAUUGUAAAGCUCUUUCACCGGUGAAGAUAAUGACGGUAACCGGAGAAGAAGCCCCGGCUAACUUCGUGCCAGCCGCCGCGGUAACAC